rnacentral:rRNA from 1 species
GACGAACCAUGCGAACGUUGUUCGGAAUCACUGGGCUUAAAGGGCGCGUAGGCGGUUUGCCAAGUCAGGGGUGAAAUCCUGCAGCUCAACUGUAGAAGUGCCUUUGAUACUGGCGAACUCGAGGGAGGUAGGGGUGGGUGGAACUUCUGGUGGAGCGGUGAAAUGCGUUGAUAUCAGAAGGAACGCCGGUGGCGAAAGCGACCCACUGGACCUCUUCUGACGCUGAGGCGCGAAAGCUAGGGGAGCAAACGGG